rnacentral:rRNA from 1 species
GUCUACGGCCAUGCUACCCUGAACAAGCCCGAUCUCGUCUGAUUUCGGAAGCUAAGUAGGGUUGGGCCUGGUUAGUACUUGAAUGCGAGACCACCUAGGAAGACCAAGUGCUAUAGGCA